AACAAGGUUUUUUUCAAAACCACAUCAGUUCAACAGAAAGAUUUGG
rfam:Haliaeetus albicilla contig79411, whole genome shotgun sequence.